rnacentral:rRNA from 1 species
UACGGGGGGAGCAAGCGUUGUUCGGAUUUACUGGGCGUAAAGGGCGCGUAGGCGGCCUCCGCAAGUCGACUGUGAAAUCUCUGGGCUUAACCCAGAACGGUCAACUGAUACUGUGCGGCUAGAGUGCAGAAGGGGCAACUGGAAUUCUUGGUGUAGCGGUGAAAUGCGUAGAUAUCAAGAGGAACACCUGCGGCGAAGGCGGGUUGCUGGGCUGACACUGACGCUGAGGCGCGAAAGCUAGGGGAGCGAACGGG